rnacentral:rRNA from 1 species
UACGGAGGGGGCUAGCGUUGUUCGGAAUUACUGGGCGUAAAGCGCACGUAGGCGGCUUUGUAAGUUAGAGGUGAAAGCCCGGGGCUCAACUCCGGAAUUGCCUUUAAGACUGCAUCGCUAGAAUUGUGGAGAGGUAAGUGGAAUUCCGAGUGUAGAGGUGAAAUUCGUAGAUAUUCGGAAGAACACCAGUGGCGAAGGCGACUUACUGGACACAUAUUGACGCUGAGGAGCGAAAGCUAGGGGAGCAAACGGG